GAUGAACGCUGGCGGCGUGCCUAAUACAUGCAAGUCGAGCGAACAGACGAGGAGCUUGCUCCUCUGACGUUAGCGGCGGACGGGUGAGUAACACGUGGAUAACCUACCUAUAAGACUGGGAUAACUUCGGGAAACCGGAGCUAAUACCGGAUAAUAUAUUGAACCGCAUGGUUCAAUAGUGAAAGACGGUUUUGCUGUCACUUAUAGAUGGAUCCGCGCCGCAUUAGCUAGUUGGUAAGGUAACGGCUUACCAAGGCAACGAUGCGUAGCAGACCUGAGAGGGUGAUCGGCCACACUGGAACUGAGACACGGUCCAGACUCCUACGGGAGGCAGCAGUAGGGAAUCUUCCGCAAUGGGCGAAAGCCUGACGGAGCAACGCCGCGUGAGUGAUGAAGGUCUUCGGAUCGUAAAACUCUGUUAUUAGGGAAGAACAAAUGUGUAAGUAACUAUGCACGUCUUGACGGUACCUAAUCAGAAAGCCACGGCUAACUACGUG
rnacentral:rRNA from 1 species